AACUAACGCUGGCGGCGUGCCUAACACAUGCAAGUCGUACGAGAAAGUUGGCUUCGGCCGAUGAGUACAGUGGCGCACGGGUGAGUAACGCGUGGAUAAUCUGUCCUUAAGUGUGGAAUAACGUACCGAAAGGUGCGCUAAUACCGCAUAAUGCCUGGCAACAUAAGUUGUCCGGCCAAAGAAGGCCUCUGCUUGCAAGCUUUCGCUAAAGGAUGAGUCCGCGUACCAUUAGCUAGUUGGUGGGGUAACGGCCUACCAAGGCGACGAUGGUUAGCUGGUCUGAGAGGAUGAUCAGCCACACUGGAACUGAGACACGGUCCAGACUCCUACGGGAGCAGCAGUGAGGAAUAUUGCGCAAUGGGGGCAACCCUGACGCAGCAACGCCGCGUGAGUGAGGAAGGUUUUCGGACUGUAAAGCUCUGUCGAGCGGGAAGAAGUGUACCAUGGCUAAUAUCCAUGAUAUUGACGGUACGCUAGAGG
rnacentral:rRNA from 1 species